CACGUAGGCGGUCUUGCAAGUUGGAUGUGAAAGACCCUGGCUCAACCAGGGAAGUGCAUCCAAAACUGCAGGGCUAGGGGCCGAGAGGGGUGAGCGGAACUCCAGGUGGAGCGGUGAAAUGCGUAGAUAUCUGGAGGAACACCGGUGGCGAAAGCGGCUCACUGGUUCGGUUCUGACGCUGAGGUGCGAAAGCCAGGGGAGCGAACG
rnacentral:rRNA from 1 species